rnacentral:rRNA from 1 species
GACGGAGGAUGCAAGUGUUAUCCGGAAUCACUGGGCGUAAAGCGUCUGUAGGUGGUUUAAAAAGUCCACUGUUAAAAAUUGAAGCUUAACUUCAAAGAUGCCGUGGAAACUUUUAAACUUGAGUAUGGUAGGGGUAGAGGGAAUUUCCAGUGGAGCGGUGAAAUGCGUAGAUAUUGGAAAGACCACCAAUGGCGAAGGCACUCUACUGGGCCAUUACUGACACUCAGGGACGAAAGCUAGGGGAGCGAAUGGG